rnacentral:rRNA from 1 species
UACGUAGGGUGCAAGCGUUGUCCGGAAUUAUUGGGCGUAAAGGGCUCGUAGGCGGUCUGUCACGUCGGGAGUGAAAACUCGGGGCUUAACCCCGAGCCUGCUUCCGAUACGGGCAGACUAGAGGUAUGCAGGGGGAGAAUGGAAUUCCUGGUGUAGCGGUGAAAUGCGCAGAUAUCAGGAGGAACACCGGUGGCGAAGGCGGUUCUCUGGGCAUUACCUGACGUGAGGAGCGAAAAGUGUGGGGGAGCGAAACAGG